CCUACGGGGGGCAGCAGUGAGGAAUAUUGGUCAAUGGACGAGAGUCUGAACCAGCCAAGUCGCGUGAAGGAUGACUGCCCUAUGGAUUGUAAACUUCUUUUAUCUGGGAGUAAAAUGUUCCACGUGUGGGAGUUUGUAUGUACCAUAUGAAUAAGGAUCGGCUAACUCCGUGCCAGCAGCCGCGGUAAUACGGAGGAUCCGAGCGUUAUCCGGAUUUAUUGGGUUUAAAGGGUGCGUAGGUGGGUUGUUAAGUCAGUUGUGAAAGUUUGCGGCUCAACCUUAAAACUGCAGUUGAAACUGGCGGUCUUGAGUGCAGGAGAGGUAAGCGGAAUUCGUGGUGUAGCGGUGAAAUGCGUAGAUAUUAGGAGGAACACCAGUGGCGAAGGCGGCAUACUGGACUGCAACUGACGUUGAGGCUCGAAAGCGUGGGGAGCAAACAGGAUUAGAUACCCGUGUAGUC
rnacentral:rRNA from 1 species